UUUUCCCAGCCCUUACAGGUUUCCAGGAAACCCUAGUGGGCGUCACGACACAUGGAAAGGCUCCAGAUUGUGUGUGAAAAAUGGCGGAUGGGCACACACUUUUUCUUAGGUUACCAGAGGCUCCAGAACACAGGAGAGGGGAUCUGCUGCUGAGGACUGACUGAGUUCUCUAGGUUUCCACUUCAGAACUCAGGUGUCUUUCUAGGGAGCCCUGGAACCCUCUGGAAUGGACAGCACCAUCCCCACUUCAGCUUUGAGGAGCAUCAGAUAUACUAGUUAUCGGGCAAUCAAUAGUUAUCAGAUACCACUGCCUGAGCUUGUGUGGACGCCAUGUCUAAUCUAGUAACUUCCUUUGUCAUUUUAAAGCUCCAUGCACAAGGUAAGCAGGAUUCUGGGCACAGCUCCUAAGUUUCUACACAGUCCUCCAUUACCACCUUGUGUUGCCUGCAGGUCUCCGGUGACAGCAUGCCAGGCCACCCUCAGCUGGUUCCCAGACCACACAAGGUCACACCAGUCACUCAGGGAUGCCAGAGCUCACAGCUGCCUUUUACAAUCACGGACACAAUGAGAGCAGACAGCCCGGCUGCUCACACGGCUUCCAGAUAUCACAUUACUAAUAUUGCCUCGGCGCAGUGUUCUGAGACCAUUCUGAGCCCGGUUACAAAAAUAGUCAUGACUCUCAUCGGGGCUGAGACU